ensembl:lncRNA
CCCCUAAAUGAAGCAAGCCUCGAUACGCGCUUCGUGGACACGCCCCCUCCAUUACUCGGCACACGCUUCGAAGCGUCGGCACAUCUCGUAACAUCACUAAUUAACUCUGAUAUAAUAACUGUUGGUUUAUUUAUCGGUGGAGCAGCAGAACAUUUUCCACAGACAGUUUUCCUGCCCGUUGGCUUGUUUUAACCAGUUUUCUGCCUUCGACUGAUUCUACCAGCAGACACUGAAAGGACUCUGAUAGUUCGAGUGAAAGUAGCAGUUCCUCCUUAAGGUCAGAGAUUGCAGCAUCUGAGGGCCUCUUCAAAAGAAGACGUAGUUGAUGAAGGCGUUCUGGAGCAGGACCAGAAAGACCACGACCAAGCAGCCUUGAGAUCUUAGGCAGCGUCUCCCUCAGGUGGGUGUCAACGGUGUUCACGGUCAGGUCUGUGGUAAUCCCGUCAGAAAACAAAACUGAAAAAAAUCUAGAUUAUAAAUCAACAUGUAACUAAAGCACUCUGUGUAUAACGCCAUAGUAUAGGAUGUAGUUCAGAAAGUGUCAAAGUAUAGUAUACUUUUCAAGAAUAACAUAGUAUGGCCUGUAGUUCAUAGUAUAGCUUGGCAAAAAAAAAAGAUUAUUAUGUGGUUCAAAAAGUGCAAAAUGAUAGGAUGUUGCCUAAAAUUGUCAUGUAUGAUAUGUGGUUCAAAAAAUGUCAUAGUGCAGUAUAUUGUCAGAAUAGUAUGUUUUUCAAGAAAAAUGAGUAUAUGUCGUCUAAAAAAUACCAUAGAAUAAUAUUUCAUUGCACAAGUAAAAGUAUAGUAAUUUUUAAAACUAUUCAAAUUCUUAAAAAAUGUUGCUAAAAAAUGACAAAAAAAACUUAAACAAAAAAGUCAUAGUAAUAUGUCAAUUUAAAAAGCCUAUAGUAUAGCAUGUCACCCAACAAACAUCAUAGUAUAGCAUGUCGCUCUAAAAACGUCAUAGUUUAGCCUUUAGUCCACAAAAUGUUGUUUUGUCCUGGCUGUCUGAAGUAGGUGAGGAGCAACACCAAAACAGUCCAAACGCUGGUUUCCAGAGGGUUAGACGAGUAUUUAUUUGAAAGAGGAAGUUUACAACAGAACAACAUUUGAGGGGUUUAAAAGCAAAUGGGUGUUAGUAAAAUAAAAAUAAAUAAACAGAACUAAAAGUGAACAUCACGUUGACAUUGAUGGACAUUCCAACCAGGAACAAAGUAAAAGAUAAUCAAUAUGAAAAAAACUCUUCCUGUUCACCUCUUAAAACCCAAAAACACACCGCAGUAGCAUCCUAAACUAAAACUACCAAUGUGUUCCCUGUUUUCCUUUGUGAACAAUUCAAAUGUCCCUCUCUAUCUCCCCACACAUCCACCAACCACUGGAACACAUCUCCAAAGUUCUGCCGGGCCAGCUCAGCUUCCCCUCAGAAGAAGUGGCGCCACCUGCCAGAUGAAGGAGCCUGUUGAGAGGCAGCUAGCAUUGUGAUUGGACUGUACUUUGGUCUGUUCCAAUCCAGCUUCAGCUCCAGAGACGGCAGGCGGGACGAGUCAACGGAGGCCGGUUGGACGAAGGCAUGCAGCUGAGUACAAUCCAGAAAACAACAGAGGAGGAGUGCAGCAUCACCAAAGAACUACAGACUCUUCACAACCUGCUCAAACUCUUGGUACAGAACCUCACCACACGGGUCAAGAAGGUUUCCAUCUCAUUUCUACUCUGAAGAUCACUUUCUCCUGCUCAAACUGCUGACAAAUGUUUCUGCUGCUCUAAAGUCUGAUCUACAGAACUUCCUAAAAACUCUCAAAGUCUCUUCUGCUGCAGGUUGCUUUGUAGAACUGUUCCAGAAAACCUCACUAAACCACAUGGAGGGGCCUCAAGAUAGUCGUCCAAAUGAAACCGUACAAAAACCAAACUAGCACAACCCAAACACUAAAGUCUCCUGCAGCCUACCAGAGAACCUCUGUGAACAGAGAAUCAGGACAGGAACUCUUACCUUCUGGACAACCAACGCUGGUUCACAAACAAGAAUACAGAAUGUGUCUGACCAAAAACCUCUGAAAACUCACUACAGCCAAGAUAAAGACACAACUCAGCUGCACCAAAUCCACUAAUCACUGCACACAUUAGCACCAUGUGCCAACUGUGGCUAAAGAACCACAUUUACCAAGACAACUGUCCAGUACAAAGCCCUAAAACACACCAAGAAACACAUUAAAGAUGAUUUUACUGCUGGAGGUUGCAAGCCAACGCCUAAACAAACUAAAGCAAUGGAGCCAAACCCGGUUCACUGGUGAAGAGAAACAGAGGAAAUGUUUGUCUGCAGCUAAAUAAAGCAGGAAGACACUGAGCAGCUCAGGUGUUCCUGAUAACACCAAGCAGCCACCUGGACAGCCAAUAGGAACACAGCUUACUGGAAGUCCAGAGGGCUGGGUUAGUGGAGUAAAUUUAGUUUAAAGUUGAAGCAGAAAGUUAACAAAGAAAGUUGAAAACCACCUUCUGAAACCUGAAAUCUCUGAGUUUUCACACAAAGAAUGUCUGAACAUGUCAAACUUCAUCGCUUUUUUGUUUUUUUUUAAUAGAUUUUUUCUUUAUACCGUGUAUGUUUGCAGAAAAAUGACGUCAUGAGGCAACCAUAAUAACAUUGCACUGCAGGAGUCCACUAAAUAGCAGCAAAUUCCCAAUGAAGUAUCAUCUGUAUUGACUUCGUUACACUUCAAGAAUCCACAAAAUGUUUGUCCAAACUUUACCCUUACAACUGGAUGAUGUAGAGUUACAGUCACUGUACUUAAAGCAGCUCAAAACAAAAACAGAGACCUGUAAGUAGAUAGAGAAGCUGGCAUCUG